ACUUAUUAGAGUCCAAAAUGUAAUCAACGCACUUUCCUAGCCUAAAGUAAUCACAUAUGAUAGCUAUAGUAAACGUUGUCGGAGAUAUUACCAUAUAAUAUAUACUGACCAAUAACCAAGUGUAAAUUCAUCCUGGAUUUCUCUGUCUAAAUUCAGUUUCCUUAAGUGAGUGAUUAUUUCUGGUUGAGACACAAAGUGCGUUUAAUUAUGACGUUCGAACCUUUUGUCUGGCCUAAACCAAGACAUUAAUUAAAGCAACCAGCUCCCAUUGAUGGUAAAUUCAAUUGAUACUAGCAAACGGAAUACGAGGAAAACUGGAGCAGGACAUAAGCAAGCUCCUUAUCCUUGCCAAGUCAGCGAGCAGCAUUCUUGGCUGACACGUAAAAUAUGCCAGCUGAUGGGAAUUCUGUGGCAUUGCUGGCAUAGCUGGCAGCGUGUAAAAUGAGCGAUAAGCGAGCAAAGCGGCUGCCAACCCUCUUACCCGCUUUCCCACUCUCUGGGCGAAGUGCGCAUCAGCAACGUCUGCAGUUUAUGCGUUGUUGUAGUUAAUAAAGCUCGAAGAGAAGACCACAAGGCACUGUCACAAGGCACAGCAGCCAGAAAAGGCGGAAAAGGCAUCAGCCGACAUCUCCCAAGCAGCGAACAAUCAAUUUCACGUCAAUUGGUUCAUAUUUUAUAGGCUGAGCAGAGUGGAACACAGCAGAGAGGCAAGGGCGAGUGCAGGAAUUCGAUGCUUGCGACUUAAUGACCGCAUUUGUGGCCACGCUUUAAGGUUAUAGUUCAACCAGCGCUUAGCGACGGAGCGUGAGAUGCUGGCUAUGAACUUUUGUCGUACAUUUUGACUGAUGGCUAACAGCAAAACUGUCAAUAUUCUACAAGCAGUGUUUAAGAAGAUAAAAGGAGAGAAUUCAGCUGCUGACAACGUUCGACUACAGGCCGCCAUAGCAAAGCUUGUUACCCAUUUAGACAAAAAAACCUAGGCCGUAAACGAAGGAAACUGAACAAACCAGAAAUUGAGAACAAAGAUCAACGAAGAGAGUACAACGUUGUCCACGAGGACAAAGUGUUGUGUGACGUUCAACGCUGCGUAUAAUUAGUAAUUUCCAAAAGCCAAAGCAAUUUCAAAUUAUAUUAAACAUUUAAUGGUCAACUCUUUUGAACUCAUUUGAAAUGAACGCUAGCUCACAUUGUAUGGCAGCCAUAAUGGCGAUAAGUCUAUGCAUUAUUCAGUGUACUGAACUUGAACUGAUGGUGCGGACAGCUGUCGACUUAUUAAUAAGCUUUGAAUAUGAAUUGGCGAUGGUUCCCAUUGCAGAUGAAGAAGAAAGGAAGGAGUGCAUGGUACAGUAAGCUCUAUUUAGGUUGAACUUUAGCCGGUCAUUUUGUAAAUUUAAUAAACUAACCACGGACUCCUAUUUGCAGCUGGUUAAGGGUUAAGGGUCUCGAAUCGUUAUUUAUUCAUACUUCAUAUUUUUAAAGAUUAAACAAAGAGAGAUUGCAGGUUUGUUGAAUUAUUAAAAUCAACAAGAGUGGAAGUGUCGGGAAAAGUCGCAUCCCAUAUCGUGUCUGAUGCGCUUAGAGCCCAGAAUAUUUGCCGAGGGACACCAGCAACAACGUUAAAUAUGAUGCCAUAAACAUGUCUACCAAUUAUAAUAACAUGUUUCAUAAGAAAUAUGUCGCGUAAUUGUUGAAUUUAAUUAUGUAAA